rnacentral:rRNA from 1 species
GAUGAACGCUGGCGGCGUGCUUAACACAUGCAAGUCGAGCGAGUGAGUUCUUCGGAACGAUCUAGCGGCGGACGGGUGAGUACCACGUGGGCAACCUGCCUCAUAGAGGGGAAUAGCCUCCCGAAAGGGAGAUUAAUACCGCAUAAAAUUAUCGAGUGGCAUCACAUGAUAAUCAAAGGAGUAAUCCGCUAUGAGAUGGGCCCGCGGCGCAUUAGCUAGUUGGUGAGGUAACGGCUUACCAAGGCGACGAUGCGUAGCCGACCUGAGAGGGUGAUCGGCCACAUUGGGACUGAGACACGGCCCAGACUCCUACGGGAGGCAGCAGUGGGGAAUAUUGCACAAUGGGGGAGACCCUGAUGCAGCAACGCCGCGUGAGUGAUGAAGGUCUUCGGAUUGUAAAGCUCUGUCUUUGGGGACGAUAAUGACGGUACCCAAGGAGGAAGCCACGGCUAACUACGUGCCAGCAGCCGCCGCCG